UACCUAUUUUCCCCUUAAUUUCUAAUUUCUAUCAUUUCAUCAAUCCAAUUCCAAUUUUUACCAAAAUUCUCUCUAAUUUUCAUUUUUUCAGAACUCUUUCCUCUCCAUUCUAUCAUUUCUCUCAAAAACUCCAACAAUCUUCUUUGAUCCAAUGGAUGGGAUAAUCUUCUAAGAGGUAGGAGAACAAUGAGUUCAAUUUCUUUUAAAGUUUCUUCCAUUUUUCUUCAAAUUUAGCGUGUUGAUUCUUUAAUUUUUGUUCAAGAACGAAUUCUACUUUCAAUUCUAUGUGUUUAAUUAGUAUGCAAGAUACAUUUUGUUUAGAAAAUUAAAGUGCAAGAUUCAAUUGAUUAUCUUUGUCUACAAGAAGUUUCAUAUUGUUUCUUGCUUGUUAUGAACUUUUUAAUUUUUGAAAGAUUGAUUGUCUUAAAGCUUAGAUAAAUCAUCCUUGUUCUGGGCGUAAAUAUGAGUUUAAUUCCAUCAAUGAAAUUCAAUUAAACCCAUGCUGCAUUUUUCUCUGCAAAGCAUGCAAGGUACUUUAAUUUCUUUACAAGAACAAGAAUUGAGCAUGGAUUGUUGUUGCAAUGAUUAAAAAUGAAUAUCUCUUUUCUUGAAUCUAGUUUAAGGCAAGAUAACUUGAUCUAAUUUCUUAGUUAAGAUUUUGAUUCUCACGUAUCUUUGAUCAAUGGCAUGUGUGGAUAAAGCAAUUCUAGUACGCAUGUGUUCGAUCUUUCUUUGUUUAAUUAAAGAAUUGAAUCUUAAUCAACGUUCUUACAAGGAUUUAAAGUUGAUCUUGCAAAGACCUUGGCCAAGAAUCUCCUUUUUAAAGCAAAACUCAUUCAUGUUUCUUUUAGCUCAAUGAUAAGAAUUAAAUAAUGUCCAUUGCUCCAGCUUGUUUUUCUCAGAAUUAAUUUUUACUUUUUGUUUGUUGAUUAAAUUUGCUUCUAAAAAACAACUUGCUUUGAUUCUUUGGUACAAAUUCUCUUGAUAUUUCCUGCACAUCCUUUUAUGUUUUCCUUUUUCUACUAACCACUUUCCUUUCAAGCUUUGGUUUUAAGAUUUUUUGUUAGCAACCAUUUCUUUGGGUUCGACACCCUAACUUGCGACACAGCUACGAUAAAAAGUAAAAGUAAAUCUAAAAAUUCUUUUUGCAAGGUAAAUUGGUGAGUUUAUUACCCUUUCUAUGUGUUCUUGGCUUGCAACUAGUAUUACAUUAAUUUUCCAUAUCAUUUUCUCACAUAUUGUUGCAUGAUAGAUGUUUAACAACCUUAUCAAUUAGUGUAUUUUCAUCAUAUGUUUUUUUACCUUGACAGUACCUUUGAAACGCAAAACCAAAACAUUUCUCUCUCGUUCUCCGUAAAACAAAUCCUCUAGGCAUCACCGUCGAAACCCUUCCUCCAACCGUACUGUCAUAUUGUGAUCUUCCUAAUUAUUAAGUGUCGUCAAGUUUCCUCACGUUCGAUGUCUGUCAUCGUGUUCCUCGCAUUCGCCGUCUAUCGUCAUCUUUUGAUUCAUAUAGUUUGCUCGCAAAUUUCCUCGUGUCAUUUUCAUUCGUCGUCUUCUGCCAUCUGGUGCUUCUUCUCGUUCCCUCCUCCAUUCGGCUCUUCUCGCAGUGAUAGGUCCUUCGUCAAGUGGUUAUUGCAGUGCUCCUUCAUCCUAUGCCAUUAGUUCGUUCCCUUCACUCUCUUUAGUUGUUAGUUAAAUCUUCUUUGGUGCAAGAAAAUUAAGAAUUGCUCAAUGUUUUUAUCAACGCGAGGGUAAGGAGGUAAGCAUGCUUUAUGUUUUGCAACCACAGCAUACCUAUUUUGUUCUACUUUUUUUCUGAUGGAUAGUGUACGAAGCAAGGUGGAGUUGUGGAGUGUGGGUAUUAUGUCAUGUGAUUCAUGCAUGAUAUAAUAUUAUCAAGCAACAUAACAAUCGUUGAAGUAAUGGAAGGAUCAACCUUGACAUAGUCACGGGAUAAUUUAGAUGUCGCAAGAUUGGAGUGUGUUGAAUUCGUUCCAAUGCAUAUUUACUUUGCUCAAAGGUAAAAUUUGUAACAUAAACAACUUUAUAUUUUUUUUUUUUGUGUGGGUUUGAUUACAUAAUGUGUUGUUGUAUUGACUAUCCUGCAAUUGUGGUAGUCAUUGAAAAGUUAUUUUGUUUGAUUCGCUUAGACAUAUGUUUUAGGAAUCGUUUUGACAUGUACUUAAAAAUUUGGUACUUUGUUGCGUUGACUAUCCUACAGUUAUGGUAGUCAUUCAAAAGUUAAUUUUGUGUGAUCCGCUUAGUAAUAUGUUUUAGGAAUUGUGUUGACAUGUACUUAGGACCUUGAUACUUUGUUGCAUGACUAUCUUGCAGUUAUGGUAGUCAUUGGAAAACUAUUAUGUUCGAUAUGCUUAGACAUAUGUUUUAGGAAUUGAAUCAUGUUGACAUGUACUUAGUUGAA